AAAACUUUUAAGUCACGAAUUUGUUACAAUCAUGAAAGUUUAUUCAGCAUUUUUGAUGACAGUAGCAUUACUCGUCUGUUGGACUACAAUUGGACAGGCUUCUUUAGUUGCAUUAAGGAAAAAACGUAACGUUGCACCACUUCCAUAUUAGUGAAAAAGGAUCAUCAAAUGUUUUGUAUAUUCUAAAAAUUAAUUCGACAAUAUUGAUAUGGAUAGAAAACUUCACAGAGAAAAGUGAGUGUUGUUUUUGUUGCGGCCAAUUUCUUAAUGGGGUAAUUAUGAUGAGACUAAAAAUUCAAAUUUACCUUUGUUGGGUAGAGAUGGGUUGUGACGCAUCACUGAAAGCUUCUGAUGUAAAUCACGUAUUUAUUUACGACAAAAACUAUAGCACACCAGUAAAUUACAAGAUUUAUCUUGACAAUUGUCGAAAAUACGUUUAAUAUAAAUAUGUGUGAGGUUAUAUGUGUAUAAUAAAAUAACUAAAAUACUGUUAUAAAAAAAUUAAAUUUUAAAAAUUAUAAAGAAAUAUUAAGAAUAAAUAAAUUUAUUCUUUUA